rnacentral:lncRNA from 1 species
GGAAAAUGAGGGUAUAUUGGAUAGGGACAGAAAUUUUGCCUUGCAACAGGCCACCUAUGGACCCCUCAAAGAGUUGUUGCAAGGGUUCUUAACGUGCAAAGAGUGUGGCACUCUCUUUACACGAGGCAUCGGAUUUAACGUCCCCUUCUGACGGACGUGACUGCGAACUUGAUACAUCCCGCACAGCCAAACGGACGCCCCACUUCGGCAAGCGUUUU